rfam:Trachymyrmex zeteki contig2702, whole genome shotgun sequence.
GCCUCGGUGGUCUAAAGGCUUAGGACGCUCGCACGGAAUGCAAGAGAUCCGGGUUCGACUCCCGGCCGAGGUA